rnacentral:lncRNA from 1 species
UGGGCAUUACUUAUUCUUUCUUGGCCUUCCUCCUGACAUGGCCCGUGUCAGGUGACACGGGUGGCCGUGUCAGGUGACACGGGUGGCCGUGUCAGGUGACACGCGUGGCCGUGUCAGGCCUCCUAAACUGUGAAAUCUUCUUUUUUCGACCACCAGAACUUUCCACUUUCUCGCAUCGAGUCCGUUGGAUCUUCUUCGUGGACCUGGAGGGCAUAA